CUACUCCGGGACCGACGACGUACUCAACACUCGCUGGAUCGACUUCCUCUAAGAGAGAUUGCAAAUCAAUUCCAAGACUCGACAGACUAUGUCGGAGGGAAACCAAACAAAUCCACUUUAUUUGAAUAAUUGGAAAAGUACACGUGGUGCCCUUUUAUAGGGGAUUACAAAGCAAUACUAAAGAAAACAAUUAAGUAAAACAAUUUAAGCAAAAGAAAAAUUAAUCAGGU
rnacentral:lncRNA from 1 species